GUUGAUUGUGACAUGUGGUUGUUUUACGUAGUUUAAAUGUAAAAUAUAAAUGGAUUGCAAAAGUCUUACUUAUUGAAUAGGUUGAGUCCGAUGCGGUACUGGCGUCUUUGCACCACGUCGUUGUUGAAUGGCGGUGAGUCCCAACUGUGUCUACUCUCCCUCUGGUAGGUCUGCUUGCCCAGGGGGGGUAGGGGCUCCCUCAGGCUGUCCUGAGACGAGGAGCCAGAGCUGCAGUUCACCGUCUCGUUGGAGUUGGUGGUGGAGUUGAGAGAGUCGUUGUCCCCAUCAGACAGACAGGGCUGCUCUAGGCCACCAGGGGGCAGCGCAGCAGAGGAGGAGGAGGACAGGGGGGUGGUUGGGGGCUGCUGGGGGGAGGAGGAGGACGAGGGGGUGUCUGGGUACUGGUGGUGGUGAGGGUGGUGGUGAUGGUGGUGUGCCACGUGGUGGGGGAUUUGAGUGGGCAGGGGGGGGCCCCGGCUGGCAGGCUGAUGGCGUGUUCGCAGUGCCCAGGCAAGGCUAGCCGAGCUGGGAGGGGCCACACACGGAGGCCCCCGAGGGCCUGGAGGACCAGGACCACUGCUGCUGUCACUGUAGCGCUCUGUGCCACGCAGGUACGCUGUGGUCUGGCUGUAGGGGCCGUCUGAGUGGGCCCCGGGAGGCUCCGCACACUGGGUCUCUGUUUCCACACUGUGGGGACAGAAGGAUGAAUGAGAGGGGAAAGGGCUUGAUGAAAAGGGGACAUACUUAACUUAGUAAUCUCCAGCCCCAAAUACAGAUGUAUUGUCACUCAUAGGUAAGUCACUCACAUGUAGAAAUUAGACCGGCGUGGCAGGAAACUUCUCCUGCUGGAUCUCAUGAGGGAGGAGGACCAGACUUACUCACAUUCACGCUGGCACUUUGUACUUAGCUUCUCACCACAACAAAGAUCAGAAUUUACUCAGCCACUGUAUAUAUGUUUUUUAUCAUGUGCAGCAACCCUUCCAGUCACACAAAUGGUAAUAGAACGUGAUCGGAGCAGAAUUUCUCAUUCCUCCAAAAUGUUCCUUGCACUGGAGCUGACAGAAUCACGUGUCGUUUCCUGCCUUGUGAAACAAAGUCUCUGCCCUCUCACUCCCUCUCUGACCCUUCUCUCUCUUUCUGUACCCUUUCUAUCCCUCUUUGUUUGUCCAGGCCGGAAAACUCCCUGUGUAGUUAAUGUACUACUGAGUUUAGUACCGUUGUUCAGACUUCUCUCUCUCUCUGUCUUGUACCAAGUAUCUCUCUCCCUCUCUGUCUCACACUCUCUCUGUCAUACAUUAAAAUAACAGUUUUUUUGAACAUUAGGGCAGUCAUUAGCCACAAACACAUUUCACUGCCAGUGCCACAUACCACUCAUUCCACACCUGUCGGGAAAGACCAGGUGUUUACAAUAACAGCCAAUCGCAUGCACGCACAGGACUGCACUUUUGACAAAUAGAUUAUGAAACAGACACAUACACACGAACGCUAACUUUUCCCACUAGGCCUGUACAGUACUGCAACACACACUUGUCUGACCUACUGUAUGUAGCCUACAGAGCUGCAUCUCUCCAAACAGACAUGUACAGACAGGGUAAGCAGGCAGCCUCCUAUCCAGCCCAACAGUCCCCUCAGGCCCUGAUCUUCCAGGUAAUCCAACAGCUACUCCACUGUCCUGCUCUCUAUCCCAUGUAGCAACAGUCACCCAGAGAACCAGUCGGCCAGUCCGUCAGUGAGUAACCACCUCACCUCACCACAGUCACAAGUCACAUGCCCCUGCCUUGACUUCCUC
rnacentral:lncRNA from 1 species